AUUGAACGCUGGCGGCAGGCUUAACACAUGCAAGUCGAGCGGAGAGAGGUAGCUUGCUACUGAUCUUAGCGGCGGACGGGUGAGUAAUGCUUAGGAAUCUGCCUAUUAGUGGGGGACAACAUUUCGAAAGGAAUGCUAAUACCGCAUACGUCCUACGGGAGAAAGCAGGGGAUCUUCGGACCUUGCGCUAAUAGAUGAGCCUAAGUCGGAUUAGCUAGUUGGUGGGGUAAAGGCCUACCAAGGCGACGAUCUGUAGCGGGUCUGAGAGGAUGAUCCGCCACACUGGGACGGCGACACGGCCCAGACUCCUACGGGAGGCAGCAGUGGGGAAUAUUGGACAAUGGGCGCAAGCCUGAUCCAGCCAUGCCGCGUGUGUGAAGAAGGCCUUAUGGUUGUAAAGCACCUUAAGCGAGGAGGAGGCUACUUUAGUUAAUACCUAGAGAUAGUGGACGUUACUCGCAGAAUAAGCACCGGCUAACUCUGUGCCAGCCGCCGCAGUAAAAC
rnacentral:rRNA from 1 species